CGGACGGGUGAGUAAUGCUUGGGAAUCUAGCUUAUGGAGGGGGAUAACUACGGGAAACUGUAGCUAAUACCGCGUAAUAUCGAAAGAUUAAAGUGUGGGACCUUCGGGCCACAUGCCAUAGGAUGAGCCCAAGUGGGAUUAGGUAGUUGGUGAGGUAAAGGCUCACCAAGCCGGCGAUCUCUAGCUGGUCUGAGAGGAUGACCAGCCACACUGGGACUGAGACACGGCCCAG
rnacentral:rRNA from 1 species